UACGAAGGGGGCUAGCGUUGCUCGGAAUCACUGGGCGUAAAGCGCACGUAGGCGGCUUUCUAAGUCAGGGGUGAAAUCCUGGAGCUCAACUCCAGAACUGCCUCUGAUACUGGAGAGCUAGAGUCCGGAAGAGGAGAGUGGAAUUCCUGGUGUAGCGGUGAAAUGCGCAGAUAUCAGGAGGAACACCAAUGGCGAAGGCAGCUCGCUGGAACGGUACUGACGCUGAGGCGCGAAAGCGUGGGGGAGCGAAACAGGG
rnacentral:rRNA from 1 species